rnacentral:rRNA from 1 species
GAGUUUGAUCCUGGCUCAGGACGAACGCUGGCGGCGUGCCUAACACAUGCAAGUCGAGCGAUGAAGCUCCUUCGGGAGUGGAUUAGCGGCGGACGGGUGAGUAACACGUGGGUAACCUGCCUCAUAGAGGGGAAUAGCCUCCCGAAAGGGAGAUUAAUACCGCAUAAAGUAUGAAGGUCGCAUGACUUUUAUACCAAAGGAGUAAUCCGCUAUGAGAUGGACCCGCGGCGCAUUAGCUAGUUGGUGAGGUAAGGGCUCACCAAGGCAACGAUGCGUAGCCGACCUGAGAGGGUGAUCGGCCACAUUGGAACUGAGACACGGUCCAGACUCCUACGGGAGGCAGCAGUGGGGAAUAUUGCGCAAUGGGGGAAACCCUGACGCAGCAACGCCGCGUGAAUGAAGAAGGCCUUAGGGUUGUAAAGUUCUGUCAUAUGGGAAGAUAAUGACGGUACCAUAUGAGGAAGCCACGGCUAACUACGUGCCAGCAGCCGCGGUAAUACGUAGGUGGCAAGCGUUGUCCGGAUUUACUGGGCGUAAAGGAUGCGUAGGCGGACAUUUAAGUCAGAUGUGAAAUACCCGGGCUCAACUUGGGUGCUGCAUUUGAAACUGGGUGUCUAGAGUGCAGGAGAGGAAAGCGGAAUUCCUAGUGUAGCGGUGAAAUGCGUAGAGAUUAAGAAAAACACCAGUGGCGAAGGCGGCUUUCUGGACUGUAACUGACGCUGAGGCAUGAAAGCGUGGGGAGCAAAUAGGAUUAGAUACCCUGGUAGUCCGCCUACGCAUCCUUUACGCCCAGUAAAUCCGGACAACGCUUGCCACCUACGUAUUACCGCGGCUGCUGGCACGUAGUUAGCCGUGGCUUCCUCAUAUGGUACCGUCAUUAUCUUCCCAUAUGACAGAACUUUACAACCCUAAGGCCUUCUUCAUUCACGCGGCGUUGCUGCGUCAGGGUUUCCCCCAUUGCGCAAUAUUCCCCACUGCUGCCUCCCGUAGGAGUCUGGACCGUGUCUCAGUUCCAAUGUGGCCGAUCACCCUCUCAGGUCGGCUACGCAUCGUUGCCUUGGUGAGCCCUUACCUCACCAACUAGCUAAUGCGCCGCGGGUCCAUCUCAUAGCGGAUUGCUCCUUUGGUAUAAAAGUCAUGCGACCUUCAUACUUUAUGCGGUAUUAAUCUCCCUUUCGGGAGGCUAUUCCCCUCUAUGAGGCAGGUUACCCACGUGUUACUCACCCGUCCGCCGCUAAUUCACUCCCGAAGGAGCUUCAUCGCUCGACUUGCAUGUGUUAGGCACGCCGCCAGCGUUCGUCCUGAGCCAGGAUCAAACUCUCAAUUUAAAAGUUUGUAUCUUGAUUGCUCAAGUAAAGUUUGCUGACUAUAAUAGUCAUUAUUAAGUUUCUUUCGAAACUCAAUGAAUUAACUGGUUUUACCUAUUUCUCUGUUUAAUUUUCAAAGACCAAUUUCUUACUAUUUUGCCGCCGUUUUCCGACUGCUUUUUUAUCUUAUCACUUUGUUUUCUUGUUGUCAACAUAUUUUUUAAAACUUUUUAAAGUUUUUUGUAGGAAGCUUAAAUUUUCUUAAGUCCUAUUAAAUAUGUUGAUUUAAAAACUCAGUAUGUCGCUUUAGCACUUGGCGUUGGCGACUUAUUCAUAAUAACAUGAUAUAAAGAAAAGUAAAAUUUUAUUCUUAUUAUUUUACUAAAAUUAUUUUAUAAAUUCUUAAUAAUACUCUUUUUCUCUUUAUUUUUCAUAUAAAGAUACACUAGGAUAAGUUUCUUUUUGCUUUUUUCUAGCUAGACUAGAAAGCAUGAAUAAUUGCUACUUUUUAGUAUUAUAAUUAAGGCUAUUGAAUUCAUAAUUUACGAUGUAAAAUCCAUAAUUAAUGGAUAUUUCUCAGGUUUUGAUGAGAAAUUUAAAUAAAAUUGAUUUAUUCUGAAAUAAUACAGUUAAUUUUUAUAAUGAUUUAAAGGAUUUGGUUUGUUUAAAACUAAUUUCAAGCUUAAUUUUGAAUUAUACAUUAUUUUAAGUUGUUAAUUGAAAUAUUUAAUAGCAUAGUUAUUAUUUAUAAAUUGACUUUUUUUCUAUAAAUAAAAUACUGCCUUAAGCAUUUUAUUAUACUUAAGACAGUAUUUUACUAAUUAUAAAUUAUUAAUUAUUUCUUUAAAUUUAUUUCCUCUAGCUUCAAAAUUUACAAACAUAUCAAAACUAGCACAUGCAGGAGAUAACGUUACUAUAUCAUCUUUUUCAGAAAUUUCUUUUGCCUUAUCUACCGCUUCUUCUAAAGUAUCAACUAUAUAUAUUGCAGUUUCUAUUCCUUCUUUUUCUUUUAACUCAUCAAAAACGGUCUUUAUUUUAUACUUUGUUGCGCCUAGUAAUAUUAAUGAUUUAAUAUAUUUAUAUCCUUCAAAAGCUAAAGGCUCAAAUGGUAAGUUUUUAUCAUAUCCUCCUGCUAUUAAUACAACGGGCUUUUCAAAAGCUUUAAUACUUGCUAAGGUUCUUGUAGGACUAGAUGCUAUAGAAUCAUUAUAGAACUCCACUCCAUUUAUAGAUCUUAUAAAUUCGCUUCUAUGUUCCACUCCUCCGAAAGAUAUAGCUAUAUUCUUCAUAGCUUCAAUAUUUACUUCAUCGCAAGUUGCAGAAAACGCAGCUAAUAAAUUCUCAACAUUAUGCAUACCUUUUAAUUUUAUAUCUUUCUUAUCGCAAACUUCCUUACCCCUAAUAUAUAGCUUUUCAUUUUCAUAGUAUGCACCUUUUUCUACUUUUUUCUUUCUACUAAAGGUAUAAACUCUUCCUUUAGCUUCUCCUAUCAUUGAGCUAGUUAUGUCAUUAUCUUCAUUUAAUAUUAAUAGAGAGUUUUCAUCUUGAUAUUUGUAUAUAUUCUUCUUACUUUCAACAUAUUCAUUCAUAUCCUUAUGCAUAUCUAAAUGAUUAGGAGAUAAAUUUGUUAUUACUGCUAUAUCUGUAGAAUCCUUCAUUGUCAUAAGCUGAAAACUUGAUAACUCUAAUACCACUCUAUCAUCCUUUUUU